rnacentral:lncRNA from 1 species
GCUUUCUCUCUCCUCUCUGUUCUCUCCUUCAUACUUUUCACAGAGACGGAUGAUUGAGAAAGCGAAGAUGAAUGGUCUCUCUCUCUUUUUUCCUUUAUCCUUCAGAAAAAGAGAGGCUCCGUCAAGCUGGUCGGAUUUGUUACCGGCGCUUGACUCCCGAUGGUCGGGCUAUGACUCUGGCAAGUGGUGGCUCUUAAAGCACUAUCUUGGCCGGCUUCCGUCUCCGGCAAGCGGUGGUUCCCAUUAACACCGUAUUUUCCGGCUUUUAUUUUGAGAUUCAUCUCUCAUCUCCGAUGGAUUUCAAAUCUGUUUUAUACAGUUUUCUUCUUGUGUUUUUUUAAUCUUUCUUUGUUUCUGUUCAUCAUUUCUUAGUUUCCUUCGAUUCGAUUUUGCUAAGGGUGGUUUUUGAUUACUGUGAUCUUUUCCCAUUCAUUUGGGUGGCCCCAUCUUCAAGCUAAACUUUAUCUUUAAAGAUGGUUUUUAAAAAUUGUUAGAUCUUCAGUUUUCUUUGUUCUAAAUGGACCUUAGUUAGAUCGAUUUGAUUUCUUUGAAACGGUGUAGUGGUUUAUGGCUACUGAUUUCGAGCUUCUCAGAUGCUUAGCUGUUCUAUUCCUGAGCUUCCUGUUCCGGUACGUUCCGGUGGAUCUCCGGUUAGAAAUUCCGGCUUCGACUUGAAAAUCGGUGAAGAAAGGGUUGUCUCUGCUCUUCCGCCACGCGUCCAUCUACCGCACGCGUCUGAUGCGUUGGCUGUGAGCUGUCUCGUUGACUGCUGAGCCUCUUUCUUUCUAUGGGCCUUUAUGUUAGUUGGGCUUGCGGUUUGCCCUAGUUGUUAGUUAGUUAGUUUGGCCUUUCUGUUUGGGCCUUUAUCUUUUAUAUUCUUGUACUUUGUUGGCCUUUUGGCUUUUAAUAAAACGAGAUGGCAAAAAAAAAAAAAAAUUCAAUCCCGUGAUAGACUGAUAGUGUAUACUAAUAAUCCAAUCUGGUUCACAUGUUUCUACAUAAAACUUUAGUAAUAUACACAUACAUGCACAUUCACUUUGACACCACAGACGCAUUGAAUUAUAGUAUAUAAAUGUUCUUCUUGCGUGUUGGUAUCACCGCAUAAUUUCUGCCCAAUGGCGUUUAUGGCAAAACCAAUAAUGCGGUCAAGAACAAAAUUGAAAACUUCACAAGGCCCAAAACCCAUACAACAAGAACUGUGUUUUGACAGGACCACAUAAUGGCACUAUCGAAAAUAGAGCCAGUAAGCGAUACUCCCUCCGUUUUUUAUUAUAAGUCGUUUUAGAGAAACUUUUUUGUUCCAAAUUAUAUGUCGUUUUCGGUUUUCUAUGUAAAAUUUAUUAAUAAUUAAUGUUGUAUGACCAAUAGUAAUAUAUCUUCUAUUUUUCUAUUGGUUGAAUUGUGGUUAGGUAAAUAAUUAAUGAUGUUUUUGUUUAGAAAAUAUAAGAAAUUAAUAGUUUUCUUAAUCUACGUGCAUAGCUGUAAAACGACUUAUAUUAAAAAACGGAGGGAGUACCUAAUAAGAGGCACAAUCCCAGAUGCCUAUGUUUUCACUACCCCCGACACAAGUUUUCAGCAUUAAUAUUUUACCAAUCAGAAAAUUCUUCUGUUAUUCUUUAACACCUUAUCUCUAAUCCAACCAUUCAUUCUAAUAUGAAAAGGACGAUUCUAACCCCAAUACGAAAUCAAAUCUAUGGAGAGACGAAGCAUACGAUUACGCAAAAUAGAUAAACAUAAUGAACAAAACAAAAGCAUUAAUUAAUACUAUCCGAGAUGUUUUCCGUUUUAUUUCACCAAGUCUUAUGUCAAAAGGGUGAAAUUAAACUCAACAAAAGUCAUAAGUUAACCGACCCGGUUUACUGAUACCGGAGAUUCCACAAAAGACAAACUACAAAAGCAUAAAAAAAGGAUAAUAGAAGGUUUGUUCAGAAACCGACGAACGAUCAGAUCCGACGACGACGACGACAGUUAGACCACCUCUUUGUUUUCUUCCUUGUCAUCCUUGUCCACCGGAGAAACAAAGAUCCAGGUGAAACCGAACGGGUCAGUCACCUUUCCCUUCACCCAACCCUCAGCUUCCCCCUCCGAGACCUCCUCCACUUUCACAGCUCCGGCGGCUACAGCUUUCGCAACGGCAGCUUCCACGUCAUCAGUUUCGAGGAGUGCAGACACAGUCCCCGUCUUCACACUGUUCAAACGUAACACAAUCCAAGUCAAAUCCACCAGAAAAAAAAACAUAACACUACUAAUACUCAUCCUAUAACAAGUUAAAACUAGAUCUAAAGCGAAAGACAAGACAAAACCCUAAACAAGAAGAUCUACUCAAGGAACAGUAAAAGGAGGAGGAGGAGAAGGAAGAGCUUACUUAGAGCCAGAGUGAACAGAGACGUCGGAGACAACGACGGUAGCACCAGCGAGGUUAAUCUCAGCGGAGACAACGUGAGGGAGCUCUUGGUCAGCCUUACGCUUAGGGUAAAGAGAGUGUCCAGUCUCCGUCGCACCAAACACAUCCUUGUAGAAAGCGACAGCGUCACCGACCUUCUGAGCCUCCACGAUCAGCUGGGGCUUGUAGGCAGUGAAGGUAACAGACUUCUCCACCACUGUAGCACCAUUCGCAGCAGCAGCAACACCUUCCUGAGCCAUCGUUUGUGUUUGAGAGAAAGAUAUGAAGAAAGAUUUGUUCGUUAGAGAAGAAGUGCUGUGAAGGAAGAAUGGAGAGAGGGGGGUAGCUGAUGGUAGAUAUUUAUUGUGGACGAGGAGAAGCGGAAUCGUUUCUUAACCUGACGAGGAUUCUAAAAUGGUUUGUUACAGCUUUCACGUCCGGGGUUAUUUUGUAUUUUACCCUUACUUUUUCCAUUUAUUUACAAGCGUGUACCCCACUUUUCCCUAUCCUACGGCCUAUACGGCUACGUGUCUCCUUCGCGUGUCUUCCCUCGUUUCGAAUUUUUUUUUAAAGUGAAAAUAAUUAAAUAUUCGAAUAUUUUUUAAUAAAGAUAGUUUUUUUUUUGUCGAACAGUAAAGUUAGUUUGUUAUCCACUUUCCCAUGCCCAACUAGCUAAGCUAAUUAUAAAAUUUAAAUUAUCAGUAAUUCUUGGUUCUUAAAAUAACACUAAAGUUUUGAGGUUUAAUGGAUGUGCAUGUUAAUGAAUGUUGGGCCGCAACAUUUGUAAUAUAAACCAACUAAAUUACAGUUAUUAUAUUGUGAAACUACAUCUCUGGACGGAACCUCUACUUGCAAAAUCUUUCUCAUAAUAUAUCAAUACGCGAUUUCUUCAAGAACUUGGAGUGUCUUUUGGUCCUAACCACAUGUCAAAAAUACAAAUAUAGAGGCUCUAAUGAACGCAGAGAAAAUAGACUCUGUAUACAAAUAUAGAGGCUCUAAGACCAUCUCCAAUGGCUUACUCUAUUUUUUACUCUAAAAUAGAGUGACUCUAUAAUAGAGUUUGAUUUUGCUCCAAUGGUACUCUAUUUUAGAGUAGAAAAUAGAGUGAUGAACAAAGAAAAAACAAAUUACUCUAUAUUUGGAGUAAACCAAUGGCUUACUCUAUUAUAGAGUGAUAAAUAGAGUAUCAUUGGAGCAUUUUUUAUUCUAAACUCUAUUUUAGAGUGAAAAAUAGAGUGGGGUUGGAGAUGCUCUAAUGAACGCAGAGAAAAUAGACUCGGUAUGCAAAUAUUUGGUGUUUUUUAAGGAACUCACCCAUUCUAGAUGUUGUGCAUGCAUUACCCGAGUAUAUGCUGCCCAUUACCUAUCGAGGUCGAAAAUGAAAACAUCACACGCUACUAUGUUACUAUCAUCUUUUUGGACGAAGCAAUUUUGAAAUAAACCUUUGUGACAGUCUCUAGAAACAUUCCUGGUCUUACUGGUAACGGCUUUCUUCCUGUAACGCUUCCCUGGAUCGAACCAAGUAGGCCAAGUAAGACAGAAAUAAAGGCUUGUUAUCUUUUCUUCAGUGCCUACUAAAAGAAUCUUUUCGUUAAUAAAAAUGUGUUAGCUGAUCAUACUUACCCUUCCAUUUAAUCCACUUUGUCUUCUUCCUUGGGUUGAAGAAUCUUCUCUAUUGCUAAGAUCAUCUGCACCUUCAUCUUUUCCUUGCAUGACGUUCUGGGUCAUUUGCUGCACACUCUUUCCAGGUUUGAGAGCUACCAAUUUGGUUAGGAAAUUUACCUGUUUUAAUGACAAUGCAGCAAGUUCAUAAACAUGGUGUGAUGGACACAAUAGUAACACCUCUGAUUCAGGCAGAGUGGAGAAACCACGGUCGUUUCUCUCAUCAAGUAUACCUCCUCCCAUCAUGUUCCGUGAAACAAGCCUCGCUAGUAGUAUUCGAUCAGGAACAACUGGCCUUGUUUCCAUAGUCUGCAAAAAUUCCUCAGACUUAUACAUGUGAUCUCGAAACAAACAUAUAUACCAAACUAAACACAAUACUGUACCUCUAACAAAUCACCAGCUUGAUUAGCUAUGUCAUUCAGAUUUCCUCCGGGUAAAUGAAGUUUAUUACCGUCCUUACUUUCAAAAGCCCCACCACCUGCAGCUACUCUACGCAGCAGCUCUUGUCUCCUUUAACAUAACAACAGCAUUUAAAUCCAGUGAACAUAUGUAAGAGACUGCUACAUUACAUAGCAAAGCAAUCCGAGUUACAAAACACAGGUCUCUCACUCCUGGUUUACCUUAUCGUCUUGGUUUUUGUCAGCAAGUUGAAUCAUGUAAUCAAGAGCCAUCAUAAACCCCUGACUCCAUUAGAUCAACCCUUUUCCCUAUAAACUCCUUGUGCAGCCAAUUCCACAGCAACGUUUUCAGAUGCCUCAUUCAUCUUCAUAUCUUGCAACUACACAAAAGGGCACAUUAACAUAGCAAGUAACAAAUCUAUGCAUCAUACACGAUUCUGUGAAGAGUUCCAUAUGCAGAUAAGUUAUUCGACGAAAUGCCAAGCUUAUGAAACAAAAAGCAAAGCUGGUAUGAAAACUACAUCAACGCCGUCUGUGGGGAUCGAACCCACGGCCACGGGAUUAAAAGUCACGCGCUCUACCACUGAGCUAAGACGGCUGACUUGACAUUGAGUGAUUUCAAAUAUUUGAAAAUACGUCAAGAAUAAUAAAUGAUUGGUUAUAAAUACAUGUUUGAUACACAAAAUCAGAUUUCAGUCAUGGAAAUCUUCAGAGCUGAAUAUCAGCAAAAAUAUGGAAGAAGCAUGGAGGGGUCCAAAUGACGUAAUGGUGUUUUUUCUUUUGGUAAAAAAAAAAUGUUUUAUCAUUCUUAUUAUAUAAGUUCAUUGCCUCACUUAUAAAAGCAGAGUGACAUAUUAGUAAUGAAAUAUAAAUGAGAUCUCAAUAUAAAUAUCCUUAAAUAAUUUGUUAAUUUUGAUUAACUCAUAAGAUGGAAACACAUGUGUUAAUGUUGGAUAACUAAAGUAGUUUAGACUUUAGACAGAUGAGGAUUCUGAGCUUUUCAAGCAGGAAGCUGCCACUCUCAUCAUUUUCAGAAGUUGAUAGUUUUGGGAUAGUAGCUGUAGAGGCUUGAAGAUCGCACAUGCUGUUUUGUUAUCUAUGAUGUAGAGAUUAACGAGUCAUCCAUCAAGGCAUCAAUAUACAUAUGUUAUGCUGUAAAAUAUAGCAUUUGUAGUAGAAUAUUAUUCUCAAGUUGUAGCUUGACUAUGGUUGAUGGAAGAACUCGGUGAUAUAUGACAUCAAAUCAUGUUUGUACUAAUAGCUAACAAUAUUAGUGUAGUGAUUCUAGCUGAAAGACAUCUCAAUAGCAGCAGAGACACUAAGUAAGACGGCGUAACCACUCAACUUCAGUCAUGUCAUGAUCCGUUUACAAAAACGCUGUUUCGACGCCGUUUUAGUCUUUUGGAUGUUUAAAUAAAACCAAACGAUACAAGCAAGGCGUUGAUUACAAUUUACAAACAUCCACCAUGGUUUCCAUCUACGUUCAAUCACCAACCUUUCUGAACUCCCCAUUUUCAUCUCCCGCGUCCCGUAGGCUCCCACGUGGAGCUUCUUCUCCUCAGUCGCUUCGCGUCACUGCUUCUCGCAGCUACUCCUUCGAUGUAGUCGUCGUUGGUGGUGGGAUCAUCGGGUUGACCAUUGCCCGUCAGUUCCUUACCGGGUCGGAUCUAUCCGUCGCCGUUGUUGAUAAGGCCGUUCCUUGCUCUGGAGCCACCGGUGCUGGUAAAGUUUGAACCUUUUACUUAUUUUAAGCCAAAAGAGUUGACUUUAAUAUGAAAGUUGUGGUCUUUUUUUUGGGGGUUCAGGACAGGGAUAUAUAUGGAUGACUCACAAGAAGCCAGGUAGUGAUAUAUGGGACUUGGCUAUGAGGAGCCAUCACCUCUGGCACGAGCUUGCAGAUAGCUUAACUGAUCAAGGUCUUGAUCCUCAAGAGAUGCUUGGUUGGAAAAAGACAGGUCUUUUCUCACUCACUCACUCACUCACUCACUCCGGUCUGUUUAGAUUUUGGUUGACUUUUAUAAGGUGGCUUUUAGCUAAAUCAAUGUUCAAUAAAUCAUUAGGUGCUUAAACGUUUUACAGAGGAUUAUUUUUUAGGUGGGUGCCUAGAUUGAUUUUUUGAACACCUAUACAGAAUUUUCGAAAAAUCGGGUUAGAAAAGUUGUUUAAUUUAGAUCCCAUUUACCGCCUAAACACUACCUAGACCUAUUCUUAGAACACUGAGCUAAAUAGUUUCUCGGUUUAGCCAAUUGAGUUAGUUACGCCUUUUUGUUAGGUUCUUGUUGACAAUGAUAUUUUCAUCUUGCUAUCUACAUGGUGUAUGUACCAUUCAGUAUGUUAUUUUUUAUUGCCAUCUGCAGGAAGCUUGCUCGUUGGAAAGACCUCUCAGGAAUGUGUUGCUCUGAAGCAAAAGGUGAAUGAGUUAAGUGAAGGUGGGUUGAGAGCUGAGUAUUUGUCUAGCGCUGAUUUGUUUCUAAAGGAGCCUGCAAUCCUUGUGGAUGAUGAGACUGGUGCUGCGUUUCUUCCUGAUGAUUCGCAGUUGGAUGCUCAUCGUGCGGUUGCUUAUAUCGAGAAGGUUGGUUGGGCUUCAUGAGUAGUUGAAUGUCUCAUCUGACUCUUUUUCUUUGCGGCUUUCUUAGCUUUUAUUUUACUCUUUCAGGGUAACAGAGAGUUUGCAACAGAAGGACGAUAUGCAGAGUUCUAUCAUGAACCAGUUACAGGCUUAAUAAGGUUUGCUAAUCUUUUGUACACGAUUAAACUCAGAAAGAAGUUGUCUCUGUAAAUCUUGAAUGUGCAUUGUUCUUGUGCUGAAGUUUUUAUUAGUAUGUUAAUUGUAUCAUCUACUCAGGUCUGAUGGGAGUAGCAAGGAGGUUACAGGUGUUCAGACUUUGAAACGUAACUUGUAUGGUAAGAAGGCUACUAUAGUAGCUGCUGGUUGCUGGAGUGGAUCUCUGAUGCAUGACUUGCUUAAAAACAGCAACAUCUCGGUGGAUGUUCCUGUGAAGCCAAGAAAGGUUUAACUUUCCUCUCACUGCUAAUUUUUUGCAUUUUUAUUUACAUUUUGAGGAUAGUAUUGUUUUACGAGAAACAAGCAUUAUCUUUAUUUGUAGAGUUAAUCAUCUGCAAGCUUCCAGAAGAUGUUAAGACUCCUGAAAUGGACUGUUUCUGUAUUUUUAAAUUACAAUAUCCAACUUUAUUUUCCUUGCAGGGGCAUCUGCUUGUGGUAGAGAAUUUUGAUUGGUUCCAUUUAAAUCAUGGGAUAAUGGAGGCAGGUUAUGCGGAUCAUCAAAGUGCUUCAGCUCCAGGUGUUGAGGAACGGAUGCUAUCUAUUUCCAUGACAGCCACAAUGGACACAACAGGAAACCUUGUUCUCGGUAACGUUUUCCAUCCACCUCUUAAACUCCUGAACCAGUCAGGCACCAUAUGUAUCUGUCCUCUUCAUUUAGCCAUCUUUAACCUUCAGGGAGCAGCCGUGAGUUCGUCGGGUUCGACACUGAAGCUGAUGAGACUAUCAUCCGGUGCAUAUGGGAGCGUGCAGCAGAGUUCUUCCCCACGUUAAGAGAUAUUUCUCUUGAAGAUUUCAUCCGUAACAGGAAAGUGAGAGUCGGUUUACGCCCAUACAGUAAGAUUCUAAUUGCUCCAUGAAAUGCUUCAAACCCGUCCUUUGGAAUGUAUCAUAGAACCUGAACUUGUUGUUUAACUGAUCAUAGUGCCUGAUGGAAAGCCAAUGAUAGGAUCUGUUCCCGGAUUACAAAAUCUUUACUUGGCAGCUGGACAUGAAGGAGGUGGACUUUCCAUGGUAAGUCAGAACUCAUCCUAAUGUUCUAUCAACAAUUCAAGAACCAGAUGGUGAUUCUUGGUUUCUUGAAAUCUUAUUAGGCUCUAGGAACAGCUGAAAUGGUGUCAGACAUUGUAUUGGGGAAACCAUCGAAGGUAGAUGUUUCAGCGUUUCAGGUUAAAGGACGUUGUUGCUGAGGAACUAGAUGCAGUUCAGUUUUUAGUUACAAAGGGAAUCAAUCAGUCCUGCAUUGUUGUUGAUCUGUUUUGGAUUCCCAAAAGGGAACAAAUCUGAAUGUUUCAAGAAAUAAUAAAAGAUUAACACAAAAUGUUGAAAUCAUUAUUAUGUGGUUAUCUUGGGUUAUUUUUUCUUUUAUUAUUUUGUCAUUGAAGUUAAUUAUUGACCAUGAUUUCUAAAAUCUGAUGUAAUUAAGAAACAUAUUAAAUCUCUUCCAAAGACCAAAUUAAAUUCCCUGAAUACUGCAUAUCCAGUCAAUGGUCUCAUGUUUCUUUGGUAUUUUUAGAUUUUUACUAAAAUUAUCAAAUACAUAACAGAAAAAUCUAACAGUUUUGGUACCUACUUGAGAAAUAUAUAUUUAUAUUCAUUGUGUAUCUGCAUAAGAUAAAUUUGUAGUCAUCAAUGGGUUCAUAUGUCCUUGUAUGGCAUAAAACUAUAAGUUACAUAUGUAUAGAAUGAAGAUGAACAUUACAAAUAUAAUCCGAAAUGUUUAGCAAUACAUAUUUCAAACCUCUUUUGUUUCUUCUUUAUCUGUUUGUUAACCAAACUAAUGGUUUACCUGUGGAAACAAUCUUUAAAUUUCAAGGUCCUUUGCCUCCUAUACUUCCCCAUGAGGUACAUUUCGGCAAAGGGACCAUAGACUUGGGAGGUCUUGAGGUUAAACAAGUCUCCAUCUCCAACACAACAGCAAAGAGAGUAUGGAGAACAUAUGAAGGAGGACGAGACAGCAUGGGAUUCAGCAUCUUUGAACCUAUAAAUCUCCCUGCUAACUUCUUCAAAAUUGGCUUCUACGCACAACCAAACAACCAGAAGCUUUUUGGUUGGAUCCUUGUUGCAAGAGACGUGUCUGGAAGAAGCUUAAGACCACCAGUGGACUACAUUGAAGUCUGGAACACUGCAUCGCUGGAUAUCAAACAAGACGGACAUGCAUAUUUUUGGCAGCCGGUAUGUCUCAAAGGGUAUAAACCGGUUGGUGUGAUUGUCACUACUUCCUCUCAAAAGCCUCCUAUGAAAAAAAAAUCUAUAAGCUGUGUUCGGUCAGAGCUGACAGAACAGAGUGAAGCUGAUACGUUAGUAUGGGGUUUUAAAGGAGUUAGCGUUGUUAAUUUGAGACCGGUCCAAAGAGGAACACAAGCAACAGGUGUGUACACAGGAACAUUCAGUUUUCAACAACUAAACUCAUCUCCUCUUCCUUAUUUAUUCUGUUUGAAGAACACCAAACUCAACAUGUCCUCUAACAUUCCAAGCAAAGCUCAAACCAGAGCUUUGUUCAAAACCUAUUCUCCUUUGAUAUAUUUCCAUCCAAAAGAAAAUUUUCUACCUUCUUCGGUCCAUUGGUUCUUCGCCAACGGUGCCUUGUUAUACAAGAAAGGAAACGAAUCAAACCCUAUACCUAUACAACCAAACGGUACAAAUCUUCCGCAAGGCGGUUCAAACGAUAACUUAUUCUGGUUAGACUUUCCACUCGAUAAGACCGCCAAGGAGAAGGUUCAGAGAGGAGACUUAAGAAACACCAAAGUGUAUCUAAACAUCAAACCAAUGUUCGGAGGGACCUUCACCGACAUCGCCGUAUGGAUAUUCUGUCCUUUCAACGGAAACGCACACCUCAAGUUUCUAUUCAUCAAGAGCCUUUCUUUAGGUCAAAUAGGCGAACAUGUCGGAGACUGGGAGCACGUUACUUUACGCAUCAGUAACUUCAACGGCAAGUUAUGGAGAGUCUACUUCUCUCAGCACAGUGGAGGUACGUUGGUGGACGCAUGCGAUCUAGAGUACGUUGAAGGUGCGAACAAACCGGUUAUAUACUCGUCGCUUCACGGUCACGCAAUGUUUUCGAAACCUGGACUUGUGUUGCAAGGCAAAAGAAAGUAUGGUAUAAGAAACGAUAUGGCGAGGAGUGACAAGUGGUUAGACUGUGGUAAGGGAUAUGAGGUGAUUGGAGGGCCUUGGGGCGUGGUUGAGCCGGCUUGGACGAGCUAUUUUAGGAAAUGGGGACCAAGGGUUGGUUACAAGAUUGAUAAGUCAAUUAAAUCAUUUGCUAAGAAGAUUUUACCCAUGUUUGUUAGGAAACGGUUACGAAAUAUUAUUCGGAAGAUACCUUAUGAAAUAAUUGGUGAAGAUGGUCCUACGGGUCCUAAAGCCAAGUUGACUUGGACUGGUGAUGAUAAGUAUUCUUAAAUUGUUUUAUGGUAGGUUCUUGCACUAUUCACUAAAAUAUUUACUGUAUGGUUCUCAACGAAUAUUGUAUUCUGCUGGUUCAAUACCCAAAUUAAGUAAGGCCAAGCCAGUCCAAACCGAUCGUGUUCAUCUAGAAAUUGUAUGUGUUGUUCAUAUACGUCAUCAAGUGACAAUGGAAAAUAAGAUAAGGCUAACCAAAGCCCAGGCCCAUAAAUAACACCCAGGUGAUCUGGAGUUUAACAUAUUAUGCAAGUACCAAGGGGAAGUCUAUAGGCGUUAGUUCUCUCGUUACUCGGUCUGUAAAGUAGCUUCAUUGUCCAUGAUUAGAUCUUGAAUCAAUUUUAUUAACAUGUGUGCAUAUAUCACUUAAAUUUAGUGAUUAACCUUUCCUUUCUUCUGCUGUGCCACCUUAUACGUACACAAAUAGCUGACAUGUUUUUUAGAAGUCAAUACGUGUAAUAAUUGUGUAAUUGUAAACCAACCAUGUGCCCAUAUAGAGAUCACUGAAAAGAUCUCGAAGACGAGUUGAAUUGGUUAAUAUUCAAUUUAGCAAACGAAGAAAUUGCACCAAAACAUUAAUGGUCUUGGGACAGAGUGCGUUUGCAUAACGUCAAUAGAAAAAAGAGAUUUGGCAGUAUAUAAGGGCCUGGAUCAUCAUGAAGUUUAUCAGAUCCAGGCGAGUGAUACUGCCGAUUUAUAUUUCGCAAGGUUUAUUAUUAAUAAAUUGACUGGAUCAUGAUAGUAUUCAAUCCAACCAAAGAAGCUGAACUUGCUUUUCUUUCCGACAAAAAAAACAAUUCUCAACCAAAAAGGUAAAAACCCAAUGAAGAUAGGAGCAAUUGAAUAGCAUAACAUAGAAGAAACGAAAUCGAAAGCUUCACAAGUUUGGAGUAGCUAAAGGAGAGAGAUGUGUGGCCGUUGUUGGAGAUGAGAAAGAGGAGAGAGUAUAUAUUGGGAAUUAGAAGGGUAUAGAUUAGGGUUUUUUUUUUCUUUCUCCAGAAAGGCCUGCUAAUUUUGUCAGCUCAGCCCAAAAGAAAGCCCAAUUUUAAUGCACACUGGGAACCAAAACCAGUUCGAAGACACUGCCGACCAGUCUUUUGAAACUCGAUAUUGACCCGCAGUUAGAACCGGUAAACUCGGAGACCUAGAAUAUAAUCCGGUUUGAAUUUUAAGAAAAAUACAUUAUUUAAAAAUUUGGUAAAACCUACAAAAAACCAUUAAAACCCAUAAUCCGGAUAUCGGAUGAACCAAUAUGUAAAUUUUAAUUAUCUUUUCUGGGAUUUCUCAAUUACGUUAUUAGAAUCUGUUUUGAAUUAUAAUUAAUAAGUUAAGUUUUCAGUUUUUUCGAAAAUAAAAAGAUAUAUGAUCAUGUGGAUUAUGAAUAUAUUAGCAAAACUAAUUGAUGUGAUUUGACAUUAGUUUAUUUUUUAUUAUCGAUAAUUUAUUAUAAUUUUAUAUUUUAUUUUUGGUUUAUUUUGGAUUUAAAAUUUAAUUUUAUUAUUCACACUAUAGAUUUAAAUAAUUAUAGACUUUAAGUUUUGAUUUUUAUUAUGUGUCAUAACUCAUAACUUGUUACAAAAUUGUUAAAUAAUCUGUUUUUUUUAUAUAUUUUGUAUGUGAAAUAAAAAUAAAAAUAAAGAAAACUAAAGUUAAGUAUUUUUCCAGAUGGUUUUUGAAACAUAAACAUUUCUUAUAUUUUUUAAUAGCUAAUAUAUUAUUAUUAACAAACUUAUCUAAUUUAUCAAUUUGCGGUUUGUCCGCGAUCGACCCAAUUACCUGGUGGUCCGGUGAAUUAUCCGGUUCAGUGUCCGGGUCAGGUUUCAAAACAUUGCUAUCAACCGGUUCAUCAGUCUACAAUUUACAAAUUACAAGCAGAAAUUGUCUAAAAAUCGUUUAACAUAAGCAAGAAUCAAGCAAGGUUACUCCGUGAUGCUCUAGGUCAAGAGUCAGAGACUGAACAAUAUCACAACAGUUGUGUAAGGCUGUAAGCUAUAGACUUGGACACAACACAAGUUCAGGAGAAUACACUUCACUUAUAUUAUAAAUUCUAUGGUAAUGAACCUUUUGCUAUGUUAGAAUCAGUUCCUAUUGUCUGUUACCUUGACCCAUUUGAACCACACUCUCACCAAUGUGGUCAUCAAGGGGACUGGGAUGGAUAGUUCUUGCCAAGAGGAUCCUGAAAUGUACAAGUAGUCGCGAGAUAAACACGUUGACCGAGUUCACAAGAUCCUUCCAUCUAUCUCUGAGCCAGAGAAUGACAAGUAUCGCAAGAGCAAAAGCUGAAGAAAGUCCCGUGAUCAUAAACAAUCCGCGGAAUCUGUAGAGAGUUAUAGGAUUUGAUAUAUCGUCUGUUGUAUACGGAAGUUGAUUCUCAAACCAUCCUUUCUCUAUCUCGCCUAGCUUCCCUUCUGUCCUUAGCUUCGCUAUCUCUGUGGACACAUUGUGCACCAGCUCAUCACCCUUCUGAAACAUCUGAACAAAACAUACUUUGUCAGCAAGUAAAAAGGAACAUGUAUAGUAAGAUAAAAAAAAAGAGAGGGAUACAUACAAAGCCGAAACCAUUGGUGGUACAUUGUGACUUGACCAUGAUAAACUGUGCAGGCUUUUCUCCAAGGAGGACAUUGAGGUAUGGCAACUCAUCAACAAUAAAUGCCACAGUUUUGUUCAACAAGGCUUCAGCAUAAUCUUGAGAAGUGUUGAGACCCUUGGUGUUCGUUGCUCGGAGUCUAGGACCAGUGAGGGAGGCAUUUGCAAUGAUUGAGCCUGAAAGGUGACCAACGAAGUCUGUAUUGGAGUUGAAUCGGAUCUGUUGCACCGUCAUCAUUGAUGUCAAUGUAGCGGUGUAGCUUGUAGUCAAUAUGAGCACUGCAAACACCCAUACUGUAACUACAAAUCUUGAUAAGUUGUGUUUUAGCUUCUCCCCUGUCACAAAUAGUAAGCAAAACAAAUUUAAAGCAUAAUUUCAAUCUUUAAUGACCACAUAGGCAUUGGCAUAUAAACCGAAGAUCGAACCCGAGCUGAAGUUGACAAAUAAACUAUUGGUUCCAAUUUUUCUGGAACCAGAAAAUGAAACCAAACCAGACUAAACCGAACCAAGUGGGUAUCCGAAUAUCUAAAAUAUAAUUUAUAAACUUAAAAUUUUUGAUAGUUAGUUUUUAAAAUUACCAAAAAAAAUUAAAAUAUUACUUAUAAAACAAAAUAUCUGAAAAACUGAAAUACCCGAAUAAAUCUUUUCCAAAAUAUUUUAAUUUUUUACCCGAAAUAACCAAAUUACCCUAAUAGUUUUGAUCUGAAAUAUUUAAAUUUAUCCGAAUUAGCCGUUAAGUAAUUCAAAAAAUGAAAAAAAUGUUUUUAUCCAAAAUUAACUGAAAAAUCCAAACCGAACCAAAAAUAAAUUGGAACCAAAAUUUUAUCGGAUAUUAGCCAGUUCCUAUAAUUGUUACCCGAACCGAACCAAAAACUGAAAGAACCAAACCAAAACCAACCCAAAUUUCAGAAAUAACCGAGCGGAUCCUAUAUGUAGAACAAAAAAAUUGAAAAGAAUCGAAUCGGAACCUAACACCCAUGCCUAUGGCUACAUAUAAGGAAGUGAUAUAUACUUACUGUGAGCAUAAACAAGGGUAGAGAAGCCAAACCAAAAGAUAACACCAAUCUGUUCUGACUAAGAUCCUUGGAACUCCUUGUUCUCAGGUCUUUCUAUCAACCAAACUAUAAUUCCCGUCAAGACAAAGAAAGCUGCACUUGUCACCCAAAGGUCUCGUGUUAGAGGUUGGAAGAACACCCACAUACUUCUCUCCUUUGGUGCUACAAUUCCUAGACCCAGUUCCGUGAAUGCCAUUGUAAAAUCAACAUACUUCAAUCUAUUGGAAGUGAUUGUAAUAUCUCCCACCGCUGCAUCAUACUUGUCUUUCUGUGUGGGAUAUCAACACAAAAAAUGAAAAUGAGAUCAGUUUCCAUUCAUCCAAUAUAAUCUUAAAACUGAGCCAAUGUUUAGUACCUGGUUAUAAAGUGCGUGUGCAAGUUUGUCGUAGUUACUUCCAUUGCGCCAAAGUAUGAACUCCACAUCAUAGUUGAAAGGGUUAAUGGAAGCUUUGAAGACAUCUAUACAAAACCCUUCCGCACUUACUAUAUUUGUUGCUGGAUCAGUCGUUACCUUUACCAGUCUUGGGAACCUGUUGCUAGAUGUAACCAAAACCCUCAGUUUUUUCCUCUUGAUUUCUCCUGAAUUGCGUCCAUUAGGACUUUGAGCAGACCCACCUGGCCAGAUUAUAGUCUCCAGCUUGUUACGAGUAGAAGAGGAUAAACGUCUUCUGUUGCUGAAACUACCAUUAGAGUUCCAGAACCCUACUCCUCUCUCACCUGAUCCUAUCAAAUUCACAAUCUCAAACUUGUCUGACAAGAAAUUCUUAUCCUUGAUUUGGAAGUCACCACUCAAACCCUUAAACCUAUUCUCUUUGAUUGCCUCAAGGAGAGUUGAUGAUGAUGCAUUCACCAUCCUUGUAACUUCCACUGCCCUCGCCAGAGCCCAAGCAAUAUCAUGAGCCCAAACACCAGCAAUACUCAACCUAUUUAUCUCCAACCCAACAGCUUCAUCAUUUGCUAGUGACUUUCUCCAUCUCAAAGUGAAGUUCUGAAGCUCCUUUGACUUUGGAAUGUAAGACUUGAAACCAACCACACCUUCCAUCACCUCUCUUGUGUCGCCAGUGCUCUCAUGGAAACUGUUCAUGCUUUUGGCAGUGAGGAUCCAAGCAAACCCUUCACCCAUCAUCCCUAACUUCUCAGCAACUUGAAAAAGAUGAGUUGCAACAAGCUCAGACAAGUGCACCACAAACACAGUCAUCCCCAAACCCUUCACCUUCCUUAACCGAUCCAUCAUCAACUCAUCACUUGAAGAUGAAGUAAAACCAACCUUGGACCGUACACGAACCUCGUUCUCACCGAAAUGGUCCACCAUGAGUUGAAUACUCUCUCUCCAAUCAUCGUCAUCUUCAUAAACAAGAACAACACUGUUCCAACCAAACUCAUGGACGAAAGCUGUUAUCCCCUUCGCCUCGGAGGAAGAAUCAUGUGCGGCUUGGAUCAAAUGACUGUAUCUGCUCAAUGACGAUGAGAUCGGAGAGUUGAGCGACACCACAGGAACCCUAGCUUUCUCUCCAAGCUCCGCAAGAAGCUUCGUUUCAAGAAACGAACUCCCGACGAUGAUCACCUCCACUCCUACAGCUUGCAGCAGAUCCACACCAGAAGCGAGAGCAAGGAGAGGCUCUCCGUGAGAGUUUCUGACUGAGAGAGAGACUCUUAUUUUGUAAUUAUUGUGAACGGUGUAAAAAUCGGAAAGCGCCAUGGAAAGAGAGCUUCUCACUAUCUUUCCCUCCACGGAACCCAAAUCCAAAACCAACCCGACUGGAACCUGAACCGGAACCCGGUCAUAUUCAGACCCGGAGUCUUUAUUAACGUCGUCGUUUUGGCUCGAAGCGAGACAGUUGGAGAUGAAGAGAAGCAGAACAAGAAGAAACGAAACUAGAGUUGGGUUUUGAAAGCCAAAUCUCUUCAUUAAAGAAAUGGUUUCCAAUUACAAAAGGAGGAAAACACUAACGUCUACUUGAUGAACUUUAUUAUAUUUUUUAAGUCCAACCCAUGCCGACAUGCCGUGUUUUUGUUUCUCCUCUCUAGAAUCAUUCAACUAUAUAUAAUAGAAUAUAUUCGUUUAGUAGAAAAAAUCCCAAGUUUCAGAUUUUCCUUCGGACCUUUGAUGAGAGAGAGAGAGAGAGAGAGAGAGAGAGAGAGAGAGAGAGAGAGAGAGAGAGAGAAUUGUUUGGAUUACUAUUCAAAAGGAUAUUAUGUGUGAACUUCCGACGUUGGCUAUUCUUUUGUCACACGCAAGUCAUUAUUGAAGGGAAUUCCACUAUUAUCUUAACUUUUCUAAUGUUUGGUAAAAGAAAUAAAUAAGGGAAGUAUGAUUCUACAUUAAAAAUGCUAAAAUAAAACUAAAACGACAUUUGUCAACGGUUGUAGAAACCAAAUGUGGCAAUGACGUAUUAAUCUGACUUUUUUUUUUUUUUUUUGGUAAACAUGUUAAGAUUAUACCAAAUUUUUCUGUUUUUUACAGACAGACAUAGAUCACAAGAAGCAGAGCAAAGUAAUACAAGCUAACAGAGACUCAGACCUAAAAUACCAGACCUAUCUACAAGAUUAACAGCAGAAACAAGAAGGAAACAUCAGAGAGUGAACAUUCGCUUGCCACAGAAUCAAACCCACAGUUAAUACGAGAGCUUGGACCCAGUAAAAAUUGGCCUACCCGGUGACCAACUCUUUAAGAUUGGAUUUUUAAAAACAGCUUGCUACGUCCACCUAAUCCGCGGCCUUCAAGAACAAACCGCUACUCUCGUGACCAAGGACACCAGAAUGAAAAGGUCGAGCUUUAUUCGGAGAAGAAGCAUCCUUGUGCCGCCACACGCCAUCGUACCUGUACCAAGAAGACAGAAACAACAACCUUCACCCGAAGGCGAGGUGGACCCGAGGAAGCCCUAGAUCAAUCCAAGAACCCUGCUAUCUCAGCACGCGUCGCCACCGAAGAGCUUCGCCGCAGUUGACAAGACCAACAGCUAAUAUCCUCGCACACGCCCCAACGACGGAGAACCCGCCGUUGAUCUUCCCGGCUUGGUACAAAAGCAACACAGAGACGCUUCCGAGAGAGGGCUGAUCGGCGCAGAGACACGCCGCCGGAGACCAGAAGAACAAGAGGAAGAAGCACCGCAGCUCCUCCGCCUAAAGGAACCCAAGACGCAUCCAGCCAAACAAGCUCUUUCACCCGUCGGAGAAGAGUGAACAGAGAAAGUAAGAGGAAGGAGAUAGAUCUCAGGGGCGGAGGUAGUGAAGGAGAAGUGGGGUCAGCUGACCCCACUAUUUUUUUAAAUAUAUUUGUUUUUGUUUAAGAAAAAAAUUAUUGACCCCAUUAAAAUAUAUAAUUUGACUCCACAAAAUAUAUAAUCCUACUAAAAUAAUUACAAUACAUUAAAAAUUAAAGUUAUAAUUUGUAGUUUUUAAUGGUUUAUAAAUUAUGUUUUUGAAAAAAAAAAUUAUGACCCCGGUAUAAAAAAUUUCUGGCUCCGCCACUGAUAGAUCUCGCUACCAAAGUCCCGAUCUGACACCAGACCGCAACCCCCACUACUCCACGCACCCAAAGGAACCGCUCAACCACUCCGCCGCCAUGCUUCUCCAGAGAUCCGAGUCCAACACGCCAGAUCUAGCCCGCGCGGAGGCGCAAGGAAACAGAGCCACCGAGAAAGGAAGCAGGGUCGAGGAAGGAGAUGAGCGGCGAGGGAAAAGAAAAGAAAACAAGAUGGUGGGCAACCGGCGACUACCUCGAAGAGAAAGCGCCGCCGGCAACCCUAGCGGUUUUCUAUAGAGAGCGUUUUUUUAGAGAGAGAGCGUUUUCGAUAUGUGAAAUUGUUCUUGUUUCCGUAUUAAUCUGACUUAGUAUUACGUAACACCUUCUGGAUUAUUGAUUUUCUAUUGUAUUAUUAACUUCUUUCGGAAAUUACUAUUGAAGAAAGUACAUAAAUGGGGGAUUAAGAUAAGACGGUCAAAGAUAUAAAUCUACAAGUAGUCAAAGGAAAAUAUUAUCAAGUCGUCUCACCUCAGAAGUAAACGCUCUUAUGAUGAAACUUGGUCAAUAUAGGCCGCAACUUCAGGCCACCACUCGUCUUCCUCUCCCAAGGGCGGGCGCUUAGCUUAGUUAUGGCGUGUAUUUUUUUUUUUAACAACUCCAAUAAGAUUUUUUAACAUUUUUCUUAACACCAAUAAGAUAUAAGAGUAGAAUAAAAUUUGUUCUUAGUUAGAAUCGCACGACUUCUCAUUUGAAAUUGGAUGCAUUGAUGUGACUAGAGGAGAGACAAUGUUUGCAUGAGAAACAGCCUAGUAUCAAACUAAGAAUGAUGGUUAAGAUCUUGCUAAUCGCAGUUAGAAUACGCUUUGUAGUGGAUUUGGUGUGGACAUGUCUUGAAGAGUUGGUUAUAGUAUCUAGUUAAAAUUAAUAUUUUCGUGGGUUUUAGACUUUUAGUGUUCAGACAAUAAAUGUUGCCGUGUUUGGUAUUUUACAUUUGUGUGCAGAUCAUAUCUUUAUAGUAGCAAAAGCCCAAAUGUUUAGGUGUGAUGUAGCCGUAAAACUCUGUAGACCAUUACUACGAGUUUAGCUAAAUCCUGUCAGCUGCUUCAGAAGAAACUUUCGUCUGAAAACCACCCAAGAAAUCCUCCAUACAAGCCCUGUAAGUAUCCAUACCCGAAACCUUCUCAGCGAUCUCCAAACCGAUACUCAGCCAUUUUUUAGCGGUCUCUAACUGUCCUAGCCUCACAGGCAAUGCUGCUCGGUUCCAAGCUGUCAUUGCAAGCCAUUUCCCUUCAUCAGUCGGGUAGUCCCCUUCCUUUAACCCAACCAUGAUUCUGUAUGCUUGUUUAUACAUCUUUUGGAUUGCUUCUCCGUCCUCCGUAUCGCCUUUGUGGACGCUGGAUAGAGCAAUCAACUUCCGGAUUAUCAGAGCUAUGGUUGGGUAAUCUGGUGAAGCAGAUGCGAUCAGUGCGGAUAGGCAUUCGUUAAGAGCAAAUGUUGACACGUCUGGGUUGGACCGUGGGCUUUGAGAAGCGAAAAUCCCAAGUUGGAGAAGAUAGUUGUAGUUACAAGACUUGGAACCAGCAAAGGUUUUUACCACAAGUAGCUGGAAUGCUGAAUUGUUGAGCCUUCCGUGUAUUUCAUAGGCAGUUAAAGUGUACAUGAAGAUGAGUUCUGGCUCCAUGAUACAGUCUUUACCAUCCGAGAGCAAAGAAGACAUAAUCUGCAUUUUUAUAAAAAAAAAACAUCAGUAAACUGAAAGAUGAAACUCAGCAAGCGAUGGUGACAAAGAGGAGGAUAAGACCUUUCCGGCUCUCACGAGCAGUUCUGCAGCGAGUUUGACUUGGGUUUCAGUCAGUGUGUUCUUGUUUUGCUUCUCCAAAGCAAUGAUAGCGGUAACACCUAAUACUAGGGACCUUAAAAUCAUCACUGUGUUUUCUCCAGACUCACCAGUAUCCAAAUAGCUGUAAAAGUCUGAUGCCAGCCUACAGAAUUCACCACAGAGCUCAUACUUCUUUGCAUUCCCACAUCUUGACCCAAGAUUCCAGGAAGUCAGAGCAAACCACUUCAGUUCUCGCUUUCCAGUUUCUCCUGAUCCAAAGAAACACUCUGUCCCAAGCUUAGAUGCCCUGCUUUGAGCUUGCAACAUGAAGUUAAGAGCUUCUGUUUCGCUGCCAGCGUCUUGAGUCAGUAUAGUGACCAAGGUACGGAAGACAACGACCUCUGUGGUUGGCAUGGUUUUCCCUGAGGGAUAGAAACUCAGGAACUUGGAAAGAGAAGCAACAGCAACUGAAAGCGCUUGGCAAGAGAUAGCUUCAUGCGCUGCAAGGGACAGAUAAUGUGGAGAAAAAUCAAGGCAGGACAACAUUGCAUCGAUCUGACUGAUGGCACUACUGUGCUCCUUCCUCUGCAGGUAGAUUUUGAACUGCAGGAAAAAGUAGUUGUUUUAAAAGUUUUUUAACAAUCUCCAAACAUUAAGGAAAAACCAUAAAAUGACAUUAUCUCAUUGACAAGGGAAAACAACAUUCACCUUAAGAAAAGAGCAGUGAAUAUUGGGUUCAAGCUGCAGAGACAGAAAUCUAGUUAGCAAUCCGAAGUUGAAAAAUCCAGCAAAGAGAACCGUAGGACAUAAAAGUUUCCUCCUAUAAAUGUACCUUUUCAGCUUCUUCUAUGUAUUCAUGAGCUCGAUCUAGCUGAGAGAGACCGAGGUAGCAAAGACACAAAACCCUGAAGCCUUUUGCCCUGAAAACUCUAUUUUCUAUAUCAUGUGGAAUAUAGAGCAUCGAUUUCUCAAACAUCUCUGCGCUUGUCUCAAAAUCUUUAGCACCGAAAUGAGCUGAAGCACUGUAAACAGCAGGAGAUACCCAAUUAGAACCCCACGACAUACACUCAGAAAAACAACAAAGGAAAAUAUCAACUGCUGAGGCCAAAUUGAAUCACUUAGUAAACUAGGAUGCAAUACAUACACACACAAACGCUAUAAUGCAAUCACAGAUGUAACCAAAUGAGAUGAAGGAGAAAACAAACCUGUUCCACAGAACAGAAUGUAUUGCCUUCCUUUCAUUAGUCACUGCUUCACCAGCAAAGAGAGCAACAACCCUCUCGUCUGAAACAAGCUGAGCCACAACAUUCGCUCUAAUCCUCGAACCACUAUCUCCUCCCCUACUCUCUCCAAGAACCCGAUGAGCCACUCUAAGCGCCGUCUUUGCGCUGACAUGACACCUUCCGAGCAGACCUAAGAACACACCUUUCGCAGUUUCUGCUCCAGCAGUCCCCACCACCUCAAAGUAAGCUUCCACAGCAGAUACCCACACUGCCUCUGGAAUGUCUUUGUUUCCCACCAUACUUCUCAGCUCUUUCUCCGCCUCGCUAUGCUUACCAAGCCCUAACCAAGCCUUCAUCGCUAGCACAGGUAAUGAAGCGUGUUGAUCUGCUCCGUCACUCCUGAGAACUUUCACGCAUUUGAUCACACUCUCGAACUCUCCCUUCUGCAAAUGAACAGCUGAUAUAAAACGCAGAGUAUUGACUCUCAUGCUCUUGAACUCCAUGGUGUCUUCCCGAGUUUUCGCAGUACCAAGCCCCUUCUCGCAAAGAUCAAGCGACUCAUUCAUGAGCCUGAGAGCAUCGUUUAGACUGCAAUCAUCGUCCUCUCUAGACAAGGCGCUUUUACCAAACGCGAGGAACUGAUUCGAGAGGGCCUUGUAGUGAUCCGGUGAGCCAAACAGCAUAUUCUUCGCUCGAUUAAGCAGCGUAACCGCCAGAUUCCUAUCGGAAAUCUCCCAGGCGGUUCGAGAUCGCGCCAGGUUAAGAUCAAGAAACAGUAUCCUUUCACCUGCAUCGGUGAUUUUCGCGACAUCGAUCUUCGAGAGGAUCUCGGUGGCUCGCUCGAAGCAAUCGGAGGCGAGAUCGAGUUUUUUGAGAUCGUGCCACACGAGACCCGUUCGAUAGUAGAUGAGAGAGGACUUGAUCGUCGGAGAUGGAACUCCGGUGACGUCUCUGGCGAGAAAUAGCAUAUCGGCGGCAGCAUGUCUGAGGUUCGCGAUGCUCUCGGCGGAGGAUGAGGAGGAUUGGAGCGCGGCGGCGUUGGAGAGAUCGACGCAUGCGUUCCAGAGGCGGAAGCUGAGCUUCCAUAUGGUGAGCUUGAAGGAGUUACCGGGAAGAGGAGCGAGUUGACUCAGCCGAGUUAGGGAUUGCCUGAGGGAAUGAGGGAGAGUUUGCGGUAGCGGUUGAUCUUUGGAAAUGGAUUCCGAUUGCUGGAUUAGGAGCUCGAUCUCGGAGAGGAGAGGAUGGUGAGUGUGAGACUCGGUUUCCCGGUGAAGCUGGCGGUAGUCCGGCGUGGAGAUCUCGGCGAUUCUCAUCUCCGACUCGUACUAUUUGGCGGGAGAUAGCAGAGAGAGAGACAGUUAGGGCUCAAAGGAAUGAAAAUAUUUCAAAAUUCAAAAAGUAACACAAACUUUUCUUUAUUUGCAUUGCAUUAUUAACGGACUUAGUAUUAUAAUUAGUAAAGCUAAGACCCGCAUAAUACAAUUAAAUUAGAGUAAAAACAUAAAUCAAAACAUUACAUCUUGUUAAUUUACGAUAUUUUUUCGGUAUAUAACUAAUUUUUAAUGACAUAAACAUAGAUAUAUAGUAUAUUUUAAUAUAAAUAUUUAUCAUUGAGAAAACAUACUUAUGAUAAAUACAAAAUUUCUAAUAUGCGACUUUUAUUGCAAAUUGCAAAAUUAAAAUAUUAAAUUUUCAAUACUUUUUCAAUACAAAUUUAGAAAUUAUCAUAUUUAAGUAUUUUCUAAGUUAUAUAGUGUAAUUUUAAACUAUAUUAAUAUAUAAUAUGAAUGUCUAGUAAAUGAGACUUCGUAUUCAUACGAUUUAUGAUCAUUUGCAUUUUUUUAUUACCAAAAAAGUUAAACCAUUAAUCACAAAAUUUUAGUGUGAGACAUUUUACGUUUUUAGUAACUCAUAGUCAUUUUAAAAAUUCAAAAUAUAACAUACGAGAAAAAAAUAAUUUUUAUUAUAAUGAUUAGUGUGGUUGUUUAAUAUCUUUUAAUAAUAUAAAAUUAAACAAAAAAGAGCUAAGAUACAAAAAUUAUUAUCAAAUAUUUAUUAUUCAUUAAUCAUUUAUUGUCAUAUAUACGUUAAUCAUAUUAGGCAAUUUCGUAGUUUUAUUUAAGGAAAGUGCGAGAAUAUUAUUUUGUAAAUUAUUUAUCAAUUUAAUAGUUAGUUUAAUAAAAAGUAUAAUAUAAGUUAAGAUUGACUAGUCUAUAUCUCUAAGAAUUCUGAAUUUCAUUUCAUGGUGACAAAUGGCUACAAAACAAUGUUGUAAUAUUUUUGAAUUAAUAUAUAAAGGAUUACUACCUCUUAAUGGAUUAUUUGUUUAUUCAAGAAAGAAAAUCAAUAUGUUAAUUAGAACAUCUCCAAUGUAAUAUUUCAUUUUUUCUUCUAAAAUAGAGUAAAAGUAAAAAUUGAGUAAAAAUGCUUCAAUCGUACUAUAUAUCUCACUUCAUAAUAGAGUGAUGAACAAACAAAAAUUAUUAUAUUUAUAGAGUAAACUCUACUAUAGAGUGAAAUUUGAAGCUGAAUUGGAGCAAACUCUAUUAUAAAGCUGAGUUGGAGCAAACUCUAUUAUAAAGUGCGGUUUGAAAUGCCCUUGGACGGGAAUGAGAUGUAUAUAAUUGUUUUAGACUUUAGACACUCAAACCGGUUUUUAAAAAAAAAUGUUUUGGAAAAUCAUUUCGUUUAAAUCUAACUUUGCCAAGUAGUCAGACGUCUAGAAGCUGUCUAAACUGAAGAAAACAAUACAACAUUGAAAAUAUAACUAAUAGACAUUCUUGAGUAAUAUUUGUUUUUUGUUUUGAGUAGGGUUGAUCCUUGCAAAUACUAAAAUCAUCCGUACAACAACAACAACAUGAAAGGGAAACGACUAGAAGGAGAGGAGGGGUUAAAGAGCUGCCACAAGUUAACACCAUAGAAGAGAGCGAGUCACAGUCACAUUCACCAUCACCUUUUUUUAGUCACUAGUGAAAGUACGGAGGAGGAGGUGGCUGGUAUUGAUAGCAGUUCCCGUAGAAGUUCCCGUGAGCAGCAGCGGGACUGAAAGUGUAAGUCUGAGGAGGUGGAGGCGGAGGAGCUUGUGCCGCCAUGAUUGGACCGUUAAGAAACUGUCUGUUGUCAUACACAUACUGCGGAUACCUCUCAGGGAUGACUCUACCAUAUCCUGUCUUGUUGUUAUUGUUGUUGUUGUUGUGGUUGUCAGUGACUCGGGGUUGAGCUCCACGUGGUCGCUUUGUCUGAGGCUUGGUGGGUUCUGUUGCUCUCUUUUUCUCUGCUUUGGCCUUCUCCAGCUGGAGAAUCCGUUUUUGGAGUGGCUCAACUGGGUACUGCUCUUCCAGGUUAUGCUCUUCCACACACUUGGCCACGGCUUUAAGCCCUGUAAGCUCCCUCUCAUUGAACUCAUCCUGCGUUGGUACACAUAUAGUUAUGAUAAUCUGAGGCUUAAUCUUGCGUAAGCAAGUAGUUUGAUACAUAAUACGCCUAAAGUAAUUAAUAACUAAUGAAUAAGUUUCUAAGUUUCAAAGGAUUUAGAAAAUAAAAGAUCAGACCACUCGUUUUAAGCAAUGUGCAUUAGCACAUCCUUCAUUUUCUUUUAAAGAGUAACUAGGAUAAAACCGGCGCAAGAUAAAUUUAUUUUAUAACUAUUUAAAAUAUAUAGCAUUGACAUUAAUAUUUUAUAUUCGAUCGUUUUUAUAGCAUUAAUAAACCAAAAUCUAGGUUAAGAUCCACGGUUUAUGUGAAAUGAAACGGAUGUAAAAAUUAUAUAUUUUAAAGUAGCGCUGUUUAGUUUCGAUUUAUGUUUGGUGUUUUGGUUUAUAAAAUUAUAGACCAUAUUAAAAUUAUCUACUUUGGUUUGAUAUUGGAUUAUAUCAAGUCAGGGAACACUAGCCUGAACAGCAGGAGAUGCAUUGCCAGGUCCGCCUUGGGAGGUUGAUCUCCUUGCGUCGGUCAAGUAAGACUUCAGUAAUUCAACAGGUGGGAACUGUUCUGUGAGUUCAAACGCAAAUGCCAAGUUCACUGCAUCAAUCUGUUUUCCACUCUUCAGCAGAACUUCAAUCACACCUACAAUAAACAGACCGGUGCACAUCAAGAUUAAGACCAAUGGUGAAGAUAGAUGAUUUGGAUGUACAAAUCCUUGACCAAACCAAACAUCAACCUUCAGAUCAAACGUUAUAUAACAUGUAAUAGAAUAAGACAUAUAAUUAAAAUUAGAGAACAAACCAGGCAUUUUUUCAGACAAUCCAAGAGAUCGGCAAAGCUCAGCUGCCUGACGGCGACGUGAAACCAUAGGGAUCAGCUUCAAGAUUCCAUCCUCUUCAAAGCCGGAAACAAUAUCAAAACUAGCCAGUAGUUGCAGGAACGCAUGAGCCUCCAAAGAAUUACCAUUGCAAGCAUCCAUCUCAAGACUCCCCAGCAGUGGACUCCAUCCUUCUGCAAUACUUUUCGCUCUCUGCUUAACAUCUUCAGAGAGAACAACAGCAAGAGAGUUGCUGUCCAGGCCAGAUAAAAGUACGCUAAGGCACUCCAUCAGCAUGAUACAUGUCCUGCGCAUUCCCAAGAGGUUACCGUCUUUCUUUCCAUCACCGUUUGGUGCCUCCACAGGGUAAAACCCUUCCAGAGAGUCCAACACUAAGCUCGCCGGGUUCGCUGCAGCCUUGAACGCCGCAGGGAUCUCCUCCUUCAGUGACGCAAGGUUCUUGCGGUUGUCUGACACAAACUUAUGGAGCCCUGCUGAGUCCAUAUCCCCGCACAGUUUCAGUAACUGCGGAUAAGCCUUCACCUCAGGUGAGAUCUCAGCCUCUUGCACAGUACCAUCCGGAUUCUCAUCGGUACCAUCAGCAGCAAAGGCUUUGUUGGGUGAAUCCUCAACAGAAGUGAUGCUGAUGGGAGGAGGAUUGUUGUACUUAACCAAAGCGCUGUUUAUAGCAAACACAGCUGCGUCUCUCUUCUUCUGAAGCCUUUCUAGUGAUACCUUCUCCUUGGCCUCAACAGCUGCUUUCUUUUUCUCCAGUAACUCUUGAGCUUUCCUUGUUUUGGUUUCGUACUCUUUUUCUUGAUCUUCAAGCUCGUGAAACCGUCUCUUCAAGGAUCUCUCGAGACCAUGGAAAUGCUCCUCGAGCUCCUUCCAUUUCAGGUUGAGUGUUACGGCGCGCUGGCUUUCGAGUUCAGCAAAGGCCUUCUGAAGCUGCUGAAUCUUGGAUGAUGUAGAGUCCAUGAGCGAAGCAACUGACCUGGUAUCCUCCAUAGCUAAAUAAAGUAUUUGAACAAAUAAAAACAAGUAAGAAAAACAAAAUAAUAAACAUGAAUAUAGUAAAAAACAAAUUAAGAUUCCAACAUUCGAGGCCAGAGAAUCUCAAUACCGGAUAACAAACAUACAUGUCAGAAUUACAAAAUAUUCACUUUAACAUAUUGAAGAAUAAGAUAUUCAAUUAUAUAAGAGAAUAAUAAAAGAUUCAGACAAAAAAAAGGUUACCAAAUUUUAAACAAGUCCAAACUCCAAGCUGCGAAGUAGAGCUCCAAAGAUAUCCCAAACUCAGAAACGACAAACAACUACAAAACAAAUCAUAAAAGACCAGGGGAAUAAAAGAUCAGUCAAGACUAUCAGAGUAGAAGACUGCAAGAAAGCGAGUUACGUUAGAGAAAGAGACAAAACAGCAACUGUAAAAAAUCACAGGAGGAGACUGUAAGAAAGCGAGUUACUUUUACGAAGAUUGCAAGCGAGUAAAGACAAACGAACAAGAACGCCAAUAGAAUUCUACAGAAUCAAGAAGAAAUCAUAUUCCUAGUGUCAAUCACAUAGCAACUUAUCGUCAAUAACUAGUCCAACGAUUAAGCCAAGCUGAUCCAACGAUUCUGAUAAUACCCCUCCACUCAAUCUAUCACACAAGCGAUCUUUCGAGAGUAAAAUUCGAAGUCUUAUCAGAAGUUUUCCGCUAAAUCGAGCUACUAUUUGGCAAAAUCAACAAACCCUAGCUACAGUGAACACGAAAGACGAGCAAAAAAAGACGAUACAACAACAAGAGAGAGAGAAAACAGCUAUACCCGGAGAAUCAGAUGACGUAAGAAGAGAUCAGAGAUGUUCAGGAAGCACCGGAAGAUUGUGGAUCCAUCUCGAGCGAUCGAAAAUGAUAAGGGUAGGCGAGAGAGAGAAAGAGGAAAGUGAAAAAAUACCUAAAGGCUGCGAGGAAGGAAAGAGGAAAGUUGAAGAGAGGCAAAAGCAAAGUGAUUUGUAACAGACGCUUUCUUCCCUUGUCUUUCUUUUUUUUUACUAAUAUUAUGUCGAGGCACGUGAUAGGUUGAGUAGUGUGUGUGUGUGGCUCAUUCUCCACCAUGCGGUUCGACGAGACGACCGGAUUGGCUCGAGUCAAGAAGUGGAAUGUCCUUUAAAGUUGUAAAUAGCUUUGUCACGUGAGUUUGUCUGAAGCUGCCGGAAACUUCACUUGCUUGUAAUUUACUCUUUACCCUUUACUUUUCUCUUCCUAUGGUUUGGUAUCUUCACUCUCUAUGUGUUAUUUUUCGGUGCCAUUAAAAAAAAAAAACUAAACUAGGAAAUCUGCACUACAAACUUGUAAACAAAAGAGGCCGACGUUGGGCCGAGUUUCCAAAAUUAUUAAAAAGCUCAAAAAGAAUAAUUCUGGUUUAAAGCCCAAAUUGUAUUGGGCCAACUUUUCAGAAUUGUUAAAAAGUCCUAAUAGUGUUGGGCUGACGUGGCAAAUAUCUCGAGUUGUAUAAUCGAAUUUAAAAAGCCGAGAUAAUUCGAUUUUAUAAAAAAAUAAUAUAUAUAAUUCGAUGAGAUAAUAUAUGAUGUUGAAAAGUCCCAAAAGAAAUAUUUAACGCGCAAAGGAGACCUAUUUGGUUUGCGUUCUCAUCAGAUUAGAUGAUUUAGUUUUCUGUUCCCCGUUCUCGACGAAGUUUUGAUAAUUCCACAAAACAAUCCAAAGUCUGAGUCAACGACACACCAGACCGACGACUAAACUCCUUUUUUUUUUAAAUGUUUUAAAUUAUUAAAGAGAGAGAGAGAGAGUCAUUUCAUCAUUCACGCUUUUCCUUCUUCUUUCAUAAACACACUUGCAAUUGCAACACGCCAGAUGCGCGACUUUCUUCUUCUUCUUCCUCACUCAUGAAGAAGUAGGGAGCAGCAAGACAAAGACCCAAAGCUCUCGUUCUCUAUUCCUGAUUUUUUUUUCCUUCGUGAGUUCCUCCCCCCCAAAGAUUUUGCGAAUUCUCAUCUCUUUCUUUAAGUCAACUCAUUUCGAGAUCGCUUUUUUUCUUUAUUUUGUUGCUAUUUUUAUAACUUGUGAUUUUGCUUCGGACAGAACCCUAGACUUCUGUUCUGUAGGAAUAUGAUGGUGAUUAGGUUAGUUUUCACAGUUUUCCUCGGGAACUGUCUCUGCUUGCUCCUCCUCUCUAGCUUCAUCGAUGCAAGCGAGGCCGACGUGAACUGCUUGAGGAACAUAAAAUCUCAACUUACGGAUCCAAAUGAAUAUCUAUCGAGCUGGGUCUUCAGCAACGAGUCUGCAGGUUUCAUCUGCAAGUUCAGUGGUGUUUCUUGCUGGCACGAUGAUGAGAACAGGGUCUUGAGCAUUAAGCUUUCUGGUUUUGGUCUUGGGGGAGAGUUUCCUGUUGCGAUCAAGAACUGUACUGAUCUUACGGGUCUUGAGCUUUCAAGAAACAACUUCUCUGGACCUUUACCAACAGAUAUUAGCUCCUUGAUUCCAUCUGUUACAACUCUAGACCUUUCCGAGAACAGCUUCUCUGGUGUAAUCCCUGUCAGUGUCUCCAACAUAACCUUUCUAAACGCUCUUAUGCUUCAGGGUAACCAGUUCACGGGGACUCUCCCUCCACAGCUGGGGCAACUCGGACGGCUCAAGAAGUUCUCUGUGGCUAACAAUCGUCUCUCAGGUCCUAUCCCUGUUUUCAACGAAUCCAUCUUGAAAGUUGGAGCUGGUGACUUUGCGGGUAACGCUGGUUUGUGUGGUAAGCCUCUGGAUCCGUGCGAAGGUGCUAAUAGCUCUCGUGUUAAAGUUGUUGUUAUAGCUGCGGUUGGUGGACUGGUUGCAGCUGCGUUAGUUGUUGGGGUUGUUCUGUUCUUCUACUUCCGUAGAUUGGCUCUUGUUCGGAAGAAGUUGCAGGAUGAUCCUGAAGACAACAGAUGGGCUAGGAUCUUGAAACAACAGAAAGGCGUUAAGGUAACACAAAAAUAACCUCAUUUUGAUACAUGUUGUUAGGCCUAGGCACAUUAUUUAAAAAUGAGGUUUGGUUCAGGUUUGGAUCCUAUCAGUUACCCGAGCAGAUCCUAUAUAUGUAGAACUUUCAAUCCGAAAAACCCAAAUUUUUUUAUCUUAACCCGAAUUAACCGAAAAACAAACCCAAUGAGAUCGUAAGUUCCUUCGGAUAUUAGCCGGUUCCCAACUUUGUUACCCGAACCAAAAUAACCAAACCGAAACCGAACCGAAUUUUCUAAAUACUAUCCUAAACUUCUAGAACCGAAGAACCAUAAGAAUUGAACCAGAACCAAACCAAGAACCAAAUGCCCAGGGCUACAUGUUGUCAUGUUGAAGUUCUCAUAUAUGUUUGGUGUUUGUGUGUGUUUUCAGGUUUUCAUGUUUAAGAAGUCAGUUUCAAAGAUGAAGUUAAGCGAUCUUAUGAAGGCAACAGAGGAAUUCAAGAAAGAUAACAUCAUCGGAAAAGGAAGAACAGGAACUAUGUACAAAGGAGUCCUCGAAGAUGGGACUCAUCUCAUGGUGAAGAGGCUGCAGGACUCUCAACACUCUGAGAAAGAGCUUGACUCAGAGAUGAAGACUUUGGGAUCCGUAAAACACAGAAACUUGGUCCCUCUCUUGGGCUACUGUAUCGCCAAGAAGGAGAGGCUUCUGAUAUACGAGUACAUGCCCAACGGUUACCUUUACGAUCAGUUACAUCCCUCAGAUGAAGAGUCCUUCAAGCCUAUGGACUGGCCUACGAGGCUGAAAAUCGCGUUGGGGGCGGCGAAAGGACUAGCGUGGCUUCACCACAGCUGCAACCCGAGGAUCAUCCACCGCAACAUAAGCUCGAAAUGCAUACUGUUGACUGCAGAUUUCGAGCCUAAGAUCUCGGACUUCGGUUUGGCUAGGCUGAUGAACCCCAUUGAUACUCAUUUAAGCACGUUUGUGAAUGGAGAGUUUGGUGAUUUCGGUUACGUUGCUCCGGAGUAUUCAAGAACCAUGGUGGCAACUCCUAAAGGAGAUGUGUACAGCUUCGGGGUUGUGAUUCUAGAGCUAGUAACGGGACAAAAGGCUACUAGCGUGACGACUGGACCCGAAGAAGAAGCCGAGGAAGAAGAAGGGUUUAAAGGUAACCUUGUGGAAUGGGUUACAAUGCUAUCGAGAGAGUCAAAACUGCAGGAAGCGAUUGACAAGUCUUUGCUUGGGAAGGAUGUGAAUGAUGAGAUCUUCAAAGUGCUCAAAGUAGCAUGCAACUGCGUUCUACCGGAAGUGGCGAAGCAGAGGCCUACCAUGUUUGAGGUGUAUCAGUUUCUGAGGGCUAUUGGAGAGAGCUACAACUUUACUACUGAAGAUGAUAUCUUAGUUCCGUCUGAAUCAGGAGAAGGCGACUUCAUUGAAGAGCUCAUAGUUCGCUGAUCAAAGAGGAAGGGGGUAAGACUUCUGAAAACGAAUAUCUUUAGUCCUAGCAGUUCCACGAUAUAUAUAUAUAUAUAAGUAAGUAUUGUUUUUUUCUUUCUGUGUUUGGUUUCUCCUCGUCGAUGGUGUGUGGUUGUAAUAUAAGAAAUUGUUAGAUGCACUCUCUGUUAUUACUACACUGAGCUUUGGUUGUUUUCAGAACAGCUACUGGUUUGGUUUUGUCACUACAUCCUUGCUAUUCUUUCAAAUGUUUGCUGCACUUAUUCAAUUUGCUUGGAAAAUUUUACAUUCGUAGCACACAUUAUUAUCAUAUUAUUGUUAAACAGAUUCGUAUUAGCAUCAUACUACAACCAGUAGUUUGACCUCUUCUAAUGAACAAAACAACACCAAAUUUGUCUCCAAUAUGUUUUCAAGCCAACUGUUCGUUAGCCAGAUAGCAAAAAUAAAAGUUUUUUUUCACAAAAUAAAUAAAUUGUGUGUGAAAUUUAAAAGUUUUAUGCAAAAUCACAAUUUAAUAAAUUGAAUAUGAAAUUUAGAUUUAAAAAAAAGAGGUUAUACUUUUGCACUACCAUAUUAUAAUCCAGAUAUAAAUACAUUAGGUUAGUUUUGACCGUUUUUCCUAUACAAGCAUGUCUUAAAAUCCAUACAUGCUACUUCAAAAAAUGAUUAAAAAAAAACUCAAAUCUAGGCUUAUGUCUUGGGCGUGGAUUAGUGUUUAGUCAUGCUAGCGGUAUUUUUUGGUAUAUUCUGGAGUAGGAGACCGGGAAGGUGGUGAUGGUUGUAAAAAUCGUUUUCGUAUAUAUAUAAUUUCAAUUUGAGAAAAAAAAAAAAAGGCUUAUGUCUUGGGAGAAAAUGGUUUCAAGUUGAGAGAAAGUACAAGAAAUGUCUUAAAAUCCGUACAUCUAAUGCUACUUCAAGCUAAAACAGUGCAGGUUAACAGAUUGCAAGAUACCUUAAGUUUAGAGGUCAUCUCAUUCUAGAGAUAACACAAAAACUGAAGAUUACUUCCUAAUAAACUACUUUGUUGAUCUGCUACUUCAACUACAUUUUGAAAAUCUUAAGCUGAGAAUCUUUCUCCCAUGUCGUUACAUACUUCGUCUAGAGUAGACAGGAAGUCUCUCACAGCCAUGAAAACUCUCAACGUGUGACCUUCUUCCUUGAAAGAGCCUCCAUGGAAUAGCUCUGUGACCUCUUCCAACGCAGACAGCGUUGAGCUCUCUUGUGCUUUGAUCCUCACAAUCUCCUCACCAGCAGUUUCCAAGAACCGACCCAUCUUAGUCUCGAACUUCAUCCACUGAUCUCCACUACAUCCACUCUCCUCGCUCAGUAUCAAAAGCUCCUUGAUGCUCCUGAUUCCUUGGUAAAGCUUCAACACACCGUUUGUCAGAACACCGUACUCAAUGUCAGCUGAUUUCUUGACUGUCUCCAUCUCUGAGCUCAGGUUUCUGAUCCGGUCUAAAGCCUUCACAGAGCCUUCUGAUUUUAUCAUCUCCUGAACAGCGAAAUGCAAGACGCUGCUUCUUCCGUCUAGUCCCUUGACCUCAGCGAGCUUGAGGAGAGUGUCGAACUUGAAAGCGUGAGAGUUUGUUCCAACGCUCAUCUUGUUUCCUGUCUUGAGUAUAGCUUCAAGAAGUCUCGAGAACGUUUUAUUAUUCCUCAGCUCUUCACAAGCAGCCUGCAAAAGCAGAUACGCUUAUGAGACAAGAAGUUUAAAACAUCAGGCGAACAUAAAAAUCAAAAUAUCUAUACCUGUACAACACCGAAUGAUCGUCUGAGAUAUUCAACCUCAGGGUAGAAGUUAGCCACAGAGAGCAAUGCAUCAACCCGUUUGAACACGAACGGCACUUGAAGCAACUCCUUAAGAAACCUUUCAGCUGGAGUAAGCUUGAUAAUCACUGAAUCAUCACUAGCGUUCCUCAGCUUCCUCUCUUCUUCUUUACUAGGUGCCAAUCUUGAUAGACAGUCAAGAAGCUCAGCUCCAAGUGCACCAGAAUCACCUGAAUCAAUAACUCAAAAGAUUACAAAAUGGCAACAGAUUAAAAAAACGUUUAACCAGUGAUUUACCUUCAAGAAGAGCGUUAGAAACAUCCUUUGUGGUCAAGUUAAGUAGUUGAAGGCGAGUAGCAAUGUUCUGGUAUGAAACUUCAUUUUGAGUCGGUAGAUCAUAAGUCAGACCUCUCUGGUUUAAGUUUGGACUUGACGAGUUUGAGAUGAACAGAGUCUCUACAAUCUCUUUGUUUAACCUGCCACACACACAGUCACAGAAACAAACUUUGUUAAACUCUUCUCAGACGAAAAUAAAGACAAAAGAAAGAUAGCUUUCACUUUCUCUUACUUGAACGAGUUCGCCUUAAGACAAUCCCAAGCUGUGUUCUGGCAAGAACCUUGAUUGACUUUGUCGGAAAAGGAUGGUUUUUUCACAUCAUUUUGAACCACGAAAGACUGUGAAGGUGGGACAAGAGGAGGCGGUCUAGUCGGAGGAGGAGCUGCUACUGCUCCUGCUUGGCCACCGAUGUUGAUAACAAAGUCUCUCCUUGACGAAACCGACUCAGAGGAGAGCAACACCGACUUGACAUUCCGGCUAAAGUCGUUCCAAAUCGGCGGGGAGCUGUUUAUAAACUUCCUGAACAACCCGUCGGGAGAGUUCGAAACAGACGAGUAGAGAGACGAGAGAGGCGUUCGCACGAAACCUCCUCUAUCCGGCGAGGUGGAAGCAGAGGAGAUACGAGGGAAGCUCAGAUUCUGAUUAAAGAAGCUAAACAUUCUUAAAGAAGACGACACGUGUCCGUUAUUGUUCCUCACUCUUAGCCUCUCCGGCGACAAAGACUGAAGGCUUUGUUCCAAAGAGACGUCAGAGAGUCUACUGAACGAGCGUUGCUGCUGAACCGGAGAUAAAGUCAUGGAGAAGGACCUCGCCGGAGAAACCCAGCCGGAGGAGGAGGAGGAGCAGGAGCUUUGCUCGAAACCGGAGCGAGAUGGACUUGAGUUCGCGGAGCUAGCUAAAGAAGCUAGAGGAGAGAAGAACUCUUCUUCUUCUUCUUCGUCUUCUUCUUCUUCGUUUCUCUCGGAGUGAAUCUCAGCUUCGUAGCUAGGCUGGAAGCUACGAGGCAACGGAGGGAGAGGCCGUAUCUCCGGCGACUCAGGAGGCUUGACGAAACUCGUUACAACACGGUCAGGCUCCUCCUCUCCUCCGAGGUAUAGAACCUCAGAGGUUGGAGAAGAAGCGGAGACAGAGAAGUUGUUGGUGAUGACGUGUCUCUCCUCCGAGGUAUGACUACUACUACUACUACCACCACCAAGAGUAGUAUUAGUGUCUUUGAAAUGACGGUUUUGCCCUUUCCACCGGCCGUAGAGAAACAAAGCGACGCCGAGAACCGCAGCGACAACGAGGACGGCGGAGAUGGCCGGGACAAGGAUAGCAGGGGAGGUGGAAUGCGGUUUGGGAGAGCGGGGGAGGACGAGGGCGGAGAUGUUGGCGGGAAAAGUAGUAGGAAAGGCGGCGAAGGUGGGCGGAGACGGCGGAGGAGGAAGAGGAGGAGCGGAGGAUUCGAGAGGGAAGAAAGGAGGACUUGUGGGUGAAGCAGGAGUGAGAAGAGCUGAUCCUGCGUCGUCGGAGAGGUGACGACGGCCGAGAUUGAGGGCGGAGGAGGCGUAGGAUAGAGGGGAAGGUGCGCAUGAUAGCAGAAGGAGGAAGGAGAAACAAAAGGUCUGCAUUGCUUCUGGGUUUCUGCAGAGUCACUGUUCACAUGAAAGAUGUUAAAGACACACUCUAUUAUGGCUCUCUCUGUCCUUGUGAGCUGUGACAUAUGAGAGUAAUAAUAACAAGACACUGGCACUCAUUUUUACUUUUACCAACCAAUGUAGCUUAUUUAUUUAUUACUACUAGGUCCUAGUCUUACUUACCCCGUGAUGGGUCAAAUUACUGUCAAUUAAAUAAGAAAAGGAUAAAACAUUAGCUUUGUUUUUUUCUGAAAAGGAUAAUUGCAUAGUUUAUUUUUACCAAAGGAACUAUUUUUUACCUUAUAAAUAGCCAUUUUUGUGCUUUGAUAUACGAAUUAUGUACGAGAAAAAGACUACGAUAGCAAUAAACCAAGUUUUUGUUCACAGAGUAGCACUUAAAGAUUAAAGUCACAAAAAUAGAUUUUAUUAAAGAGGUAAAUAUACACUUAUAUCCUUUGGGUUAAUUAAUCUAAACCUUAGGGUUUAGAGUUAAGAGGUUGAGUUUUGGAAUUAGGGUUUAAAAUUUUAUAAAAAGUAAAUACUAAAAUAAAAAAUAAAAAUUUUAAAAACAGUUUCAAAAAGUAUUUUUAAAUUAUAAAAAAAAAAUUUGAAAAAAAAAUAAAAAAAAUUUCAAAAAAAAUUUCAAAAAAAAAUUAUAAAAAUUUCGAAUCUGAAAACAUAUAAUCUGAAACUAUAAAAAAAAUUUCUUUUUUUUUUUAUUUUUUUUAUUUUUUUUUUUUAUUUAUUUUUAUUUAUUUAUUUAAUUUUAAACCAAGGGUAUUAGGAAUAUUUUACCCUUUAAUGAAUGUCAUUUUUGUGACUUUCUCCUUCUAGUGCUAUUUUUGAGACAUAAACUUCAAAAGGUGUUAUUAUUGACAAUUGCCCAUUAUGUAUUCAAAUCUAUAAUAUAAUAUUAUACUAAAAGGGAGAUAUAAACCCCUCUUAGAGUGUCCACAUCAGCAUAUAUAAUCAUCCAAUCAGAGAGCCCGAAGUUGCCACGUCAUCUCAUUUAUUUUUUCGUAAAAAAUAAAAAAAAAUGCAAAGGACAGGAUCGAACCCGGAUUAGUAUGACAUAAAUAUAGAGCAUAUACCGCUAAGCCAUUGAAACUUUCUUGAACACAUAUACAAGAAUCACUAAAUAUGUAAUCACAAACUCUUAUGUACAUUUACAAUAAUAUGGAUUCAACUUUCAAGAUUUCGAUAUUUUGUUUUGUAAAAAAAAUAAGAAAGUGACUAAGCUAAUAUAUUCUUUGAAAGUGUGAGAACAUUGACAAAUAUGAAAAAGCAUAGAUUUUUGUUUUCGUGACAAAGUUAAGACUUUUGUAAAAGUAAGUUUACAUAAGCUUGCUUUCCCCGAUUCUAUAUACACAAGAUUCUAUAUACACAAAUAAAUAUAAUAUAACAACAUAAGCUUGCUUUCCCCGAUUCAUAUGAAAACUUUUUAAGUUAUCCACCAAAGCAAAUUAAUUAAAUCAAUCAAAUUGUUAGAAUACAACAAAUUAAUAUAUAAUUUUAUUUUAAAUUAAAUUAUUUAAAAGUGUAUUUUCAUUAAAAAAAAAGUAAAACUGAUUUGAUGGUAAUUUUUAUGACAUAUAUAUAUAUAUAUAUAUAUAUAUAUAUAUAUAUAUAUAUAUAUAUAUAUUAUGUGAAAGAAAUAAAAGCUUAAUAUGGAAAAAAAUCUUAAAUACAAAAAAAUCCUAAAAUUAACAAAAAAAACUAAUAAAAAUUAAACUAUGAUAUCAAUUGAAAGCUUCUUAGACAAUAUUAAUAAAAUAUUUAAACGAUAAUUAGACAAAUUUAAUUUUUUUUGCCAGCCAAAAGUGUAUUAUUAAUUAGCAUCAGUUAUUUCAAGAUGUUUAAGAAAGGAUGGACUUAAAUGAUAUAUGAACUAUGAAUAGUAGUACUUUGUAAAGCUGACUUAGAUAACACAUCUGCACAUCAUUUCCAAUCCUUUUUGAUGCUUAAAUUCAAUUUCUUCAAAGCAGUUAUUCCACAAAGAGAUCGUAUGAGAUAUUAUUUUGAUAUUCAGAUUUGUUUCUUGAAUGUUAAGAAGAUUGAUAAAUGUAAAAAUGUCUCCUUCGAAUAUUAUAUGUCUAUAACCGAAUCUCCAACAUGAGACAACUUUGUUUAAAAAGUAAAUAAUUUUUUUUUUUUUUUUUUUUUUUUUUUUUUUUUUGUCAUCAAAUACAGACUCAUACUGACUCUGUAAACCACUCCGGUAGAUUUUGAUCCAUGUGAACGACAAACAACGGUUGUUUCCUGGCACUGCGUGCUAGGCUAUCCGCUCUUGAAUUUUGCAUCCUUGGUACAUAGAUAAUCUCCGAACGUGUGAAAACCUCUUUCAGGGACUUAAUAUCUUCCAAAUAACUUGCAAAUGCGGGCCAUUCUUCUGGUUCCGAAACCAUCUUCACCAACUUAGAACAAUCCGUUGCAAAUGUAACCUGAAACUGGCGUAAAUUUUUCAUACAUUCCAUUGCCCAAAGUAGUGCUUCUAUCUCCGCAUGUAGAGGGGAUAGACAAGCUCGGACAUUCCUUGCUCCUAAUUUUAUUUUUCUUAUAUUAUAUAAUAAAUAUAUAUUAUUUACUGAUAAUAAAAAUAUAAUUAUUCAUCUAUCACAAAUAUCUAUGCAAAUAUGUGAAUCCAGUACUACAAUCAAACAACAUAAUGAUUUCCGCAAAGAAAAUUUAAAAAAUAUAUUUAUGUUAUGUAGUCUUAUUUUAUAUUCUUUAAAUAAUGUAAUACAAUAUUAUACAUUAUUUUUUUAGAAUUGAGAAAUACAUAUAUAUCAGUUAGACAAAUUAAGCAAUAAUUAGACAAUUUUGACUCUUUUUUUGCCAGCCAAAAGUUUAUUAUUAAUUAGCAUCAGUUAUUUCAAGAUGUUUAAGAAAAUAUGGACAAAAAAUAGGAUGGACAUAAAUGAUAUAUGAAUUAUGAAUAGUACUUUGUAAAACUGACUUAGAUAACACAUAUGCACAUCCAUUUUCAGUCAUUUUUGAUGCCUAAAUUCAAUUUCUUCAGAGCAGUUAUUCCACAAAGAGAUCGUAUGAGAUAUUGUUUUGAUAUUCAGAUUUGUUUCUUGACUGUUAAGAAGAUUGAUAACUGUAAAAUGUCUCAUUUGAAUAUGAUAUGUCUAUAACCGAGUCCCUACAUUAGACAAGUUUUUUUUUUUAAAGAAUAUAAUUUUAUUUUUCUUAUAUUAUAUAAUAAAUAUAUAUUAUUUACUGAUAAUAAAAAUAUAGUUAUUCAUCUAUCACAAAUAACUAUGCAAAUAUGUGAAUCAAGUACAACAAUCAAACAACAUAAUGAUUUCCACAAAGAAAAUUUAAAAAAUAUAUUUAUGUUAUGUAGUCUUAUUUUAUAUUCUUUAAAUAAUGUAAUACAGUAUUAUACAUUAUAUUUUUUUAGAAUUGAGAAAUACAUAUAAUAUCUUAUCCGUGCGUAGCGCGGUUAAAAAAUCUAGUGUAUAUAAGAUUUAGUGAAUCCAGGAAAAGACUGUAUAAAUAUGCAAUAAUUACUUGGGCUCUGAAGUGUUUACCCGUCUUUCAAAAGAAUCUUCUUGACUUUUUCUGCGACCACACCACUCUCUCUCUCUCUAUUACCCACUUUCUUUCCUUUUCAUGGGAAACAUCAAAAUAUUGUACAGUACUAUUUGGCAUUUUAAACUUAUUCAAAAAGCCCAUCUCUCCCACACACACUCUUCUUAUCUCCAUUUAAGAUUUUGGGGUUUACCAUUUACCAAUAAACCUGAUGAUAUCCAUGUAAAAUGCAACAACGAAUUAUGAUUUGCUUUAUUAGGUCAUUCAAAUGUUUUGUCACAUAAUUGGAGUUAUAUCUAAUCCAGCAGCUAGAAUUAAAUGAACUGCGUUGCCUUAAAGGAAGUCACGAGAUUAACAUGUGCGCAAAAGAAUUGGUGGCCAAAUAAAUAAGCCAAGUUACAAUAGUCUUUAACUGAGAUAUCAUAUGAUGCAGUUUCAUAGUCUUGCCUCUUAAGCUAUUUCCUUGCUUCAACAUUUUCUAGUGUUAGACCACCUAAGCUAAGAGAGGAUUUGCUAUUGCCAUUCACACUCUUUAAUAUCUUCUCAUUCGUACCAUUUUCAAUCAAGCUCUGAUGAGUGGCGACUUCUUAGCGGACAUAUCAGAGCGUCGCACUAUUGGACCUAUUGUAGGAUCUGCAUACAAGUAACAUCUUUGACAUCUCUUUUGUUGAGUACACGUAAAGCGCACUAGUUAUGGUUGUAAGCAGUAACCUUACCAUUUUGUCAUCUGAGUUGUGAAUCAUCUUUGUCUAGCUAGAAACCACUUCAUCCAUGUGGACAAACAAUAUCUUGCAAUGUGUUCCGGUAAAUCCACCUGAAAAAACCACAACAGAUUAAAACAACGCAGAUGAGAACACAUCUAUCAUAAGAAGAAGAGAAAAAACACGAACAGGAAACUCACACUGGUCCAUGUUGCAGAAAACCCAUCAGUAGAUAGCAACCAACUUCUACUUAUUUGAGUCAGACCUAAAACCUCAUCAUCAAUGAGAACAUCAUCUUCAUCCUCAUCAUCAAUAGCUCUCUUCUUCUUCUUCUUAGCUCUAUUCUUCUUCUUCUUCCCCUUCUUGUGUCUCUUUUUAGAAACACGCCUUCUUCCAUCAGAGUCAGAUUCGCUUUCUUCAGAGAAUCCUUCGUGACUUACCAACGAGUGGUCACUCGACCUACGGAACUCAAUCCCAUUUUCUCUAAAUAAAGACUCCCACGAAUCUGGACUCUGACAUUCCUCAGAUAAUCUAAACUGAACAGUCCAAGAAAGCAUCCCCAGUACUCUGAUCACCUUUGUCUGUUUCAUCUUCCAAAGCUCUCUCAUAAUCAGACAAAAGCUACUUCCGUUCUCCAAACCUCUGCAUACAUCCGCAAUAGUUUCUUUCAACAUCUCUCCCUCAUCAUCCCCACUCUCAUCACGCACAAGCCGCACUAGCUGACGACCUUGGUUGAUAACAGAGUUCACCAACAGCAACUCAUCAAUACACUCUGCAUCACCACCAUAUCUCGACACAACAACUCCAAGCCAGGAAGAAGAAUCACCAACACCCCAUGAUUCGAUUCUCGAAUCAAAACAGCUCCCAAGCAACUCAAGAAACCGACACAAGUCACGCUCCUCGAGAGUGAUAAGCAGAUGCUGCGUCAAAGAAGAGAAAGACUCCUCCGCCACAAACUCCUCCACAGCAUCCCACACAUCGCUCACGUCUUCAUCAUACAUGAAACGGAUAAAGAGAUCUAAAAAGAACUUGGCGUCGAGGAACAGAAUCUGCCCGUCUUUAAGCGACUCAGCAAACUCGCUGGACGACCAGAAGUCAGGAACGUUGUCUAGAAAAUUCUCAACGGUUCGUUGGACGUCGAGAUCAAGAAGGUAAUGAGGCUUGGUAGCAACAACAGCUGGAGACUGCCCGUGUUUGCCUCGCCACUCAAGCUCCUCCCAGCAGAUAUCUCGGUUAGCAAAUGCAAACUGGGCCAAGGCCUUUGCUCCUCGUUUGUGAUCAGAGCCACCAUCAAACGCAAACUCAGAGAACCACUCUAGUAUACGCUUUGGAUUCCCUGCAAAUAAAAAAAAAAGCAAAAUCUCAUUAUCAUAUUAUAAAAAAAAAAAAACUGAACUUUAAAGAUUAAGAAAGACUUCACACCUUCGAAGAAUCUCUCUAGUAGAUAACUUCGUUUAGCUAACAAAGAUCCAAGCUUCUUAGGCCUCUUUUCAAACAUUAACUGCAGGAGCUGAGAGACAAGCUGCUUCUUUCUUGGUUUUGAUCUAAGCAACUUCAUGAAAAGAUUGAGUUGCCUUCUAGGGGAUAUAGAGAGCGUUGAGAGGGCUCUGCAAAGCCAAAGCUUAGCUUCUGAUCGAGCUCCACGAGUGACCAGUGAUUGGAUGUGAGAGCUUAGUUUAUUCAACAGAGGCAAAAUAACAUCGGUGUUGGUACUGUUGUGAGCAUCGGCGUCCCACUUUGGUUCGGACAAGAACAAGUUCACCAUCGUGGUACCUAGUAGAACAAGUAACACCAAUCCAAGCAAAAUUGAAACUUUUAAAAACCCUUAAUUAAUUCAAGGUAUAAAGAGAUUGACAUCGAAAGUUUCUUAC